UACAGAGGGGGGCAAGCGUUUGUUCGGAAUUACUGGGCGUAAAGGGCGCGUAGGCGGCCUUCUAAGUCGAACGUGAAAUCCCCGGGCUCAACCCGGGAACUGCGUCCGAUACUGGAAGGCUUGAAUCCGGGAGAGGGAUGCGGAAUUUCAGGUGUAGCGGUGAAAUGCGCAGAUAUCAGGAGGAACACCAGCGGCGAAGGCGGCGCUCUGGGCCGGAACUGACGCUGAGGAGCGAAAGCGUGGGUAGCAAACAGG
rnacentral:rRNA from 1 species